GACGUAGGGCGCGAGCGUUGUCCGGAUUUAUUGGGCGUAAAGAGCUCGCAGGCGGCUUGUUGCGUCGACUGUGAAAGCCCGUGGCUUAACCGCGUGGUCUGCAGUCGAUACGGGCAGGCUAGAGUUCGGUAGGGGAGACUGGAAUUCCUGGUGUAGCGGUGAAAUGCGCAGAUAUCAGGAAGAACACCUAUGGCGAAGGCAGCUCUCUGGGACGGUACUGACGCUGAGACGCGAAAGCGUGGGGAGCGAACAGG
rnacentral:rRNA from 1 species